UACAGAGGGGGCAAGCGUUAUUCGGAAUUAUUGGGCGUAAAGGGCGCGUAGGCGGCUUGGCAAGUGGAUGGUGAAAUCCCUCGGCUUAACCGAGGAACUGCCAUCCAGACUGCUUUGCUUGAGGCCGGGAGAGGUGAGUGGAAUUCCCAGUGUAGCGGUGAAAUGCGUAGAUAUUGGGAGGAACACCAGUGGCGAAGGCGGCUCACUGGACCGGUUCUGACGCUGAGGCGCGAAAGCUAGGGGAGCGAAUGGG
rnacentral:rRNA from 1 species